UACGUAGGGGGCAAGCGUUGUCCGGAAUCAUUGGGCGUAAAGCGCGCGUAGGCGGCCCGAUAAGUCCGCUGUAAAAGUCCAGGGCUCAACCCUGGAAUGCCGGUGGAUACUGUCGGGCUAGAGUCCGGAAGAGGCGAGUGGAAUUCCUGGUGUAGCGGUGAAAUGCGCAGAUAUCAGGAGGAACACCGGUGGCGAAGGCGGGUCUCUGGGCAUCUCCUGACGCUGAGGCGCGAAAGCGUGGGGAGCAAACGGG
rnacentral:rRNA from 1 species